GCUGAUGUGGCUCAGGGGUAGAGCAGCGCACUCGUAAUGCGCAGGUCGUCGGUUCAAAUCCGACCAUCAGCUCCA
rnacentral:tRNA from 3 species